rnacentral:rRNA from 1 species
UACAGAGGUCUCAAGCGUUGUUCGGAAUUACUGGGCGUAAAGCGCGCGCAGGCGGUCUUCCAAGUCAGUGGUGAAAGCCCGGAGCUCAACUCCGGAACUGCCAUUGAAACUGUUAGACUUGAGGACGAGAGAGGUGAGUGGAAUCCCCAGUGUAGAGGUGAAAUUCGUAGAUAUUGGGAAGAACACCGGUGGCGAAGGCGGCUCACUGGCUCGUAUCUGACGCUCAGGCGCGACAGCGUGGGGAUCAAACAGG